rnacentral:rRNA from 1 species
AGAGUUUGAUCCUGGCUCAGAAUCAACGCUGGCGGCGUGCCUAACACAUGCAAGUCGAACGAGAAAGGGUAGCAAUACCUGAGUAAAGUGGCGCACGGGUGAGUAACACGUGACUAACCUACCCUGGAGUGGGGGAUAACUGAGGGAAACCUUAGCUAAUACCGCAUAAUACCCACGGGUCAAAGGAGCAAUUCGCUUCAGGAGGGGGUCGCGGCCGAUUAGUUAGUUGGCGGGGUAAUGGCCCACCAAGACGAUGAUCGGUAUCCGGCCUGAGAGGGCGCACGGACACACUGGAACUGAAACACGGUCCAGACUCCUACGGGAGGCAGCAGUGGGGAAUUUUGCGCAAUGGGGGAAACCCUGACGCAGCAACGCCGCGUGGAGGAUGAAGUACUUCGGUACGUAAACUCCUUUCGAUCGGGACGAUAAUGACGGUACCGAGAGAAGAAGCCCCGGCUAACUUCGUGCCAGCAGCCGCGGUAAUACGAGGGGGGCGAGCGUUGUUCGGAAUUAUUGGGCGUAAAGGGUGCGUAGGCGGUUUGGUAAGUCUGAUGUGAAAUCUAUGGGCUCAACUCAUAGUCUGCAUCGGAAACUGCCGGGCUUGAGUAUGGGAGAGGUGAGUGGAAUUUCCGGUGUAGCGGUGAAAUGCGUAGAUAUCGGAAGGAACACCUGUGGCGAAAGCGGCUCACUGGACCACAACUGACGCUGAUGCACGAAAGCUAGGGGAGCAAACAGGAUUAGAUACCCUAGUAGUCC